GACGAACGCUGGCGGCGUGCCUAAUACAUGCAAGUCGAACGCAGUGGGGACGGGUGAGUAACACGUGGGUAACCUCCCAUCAGAGGGGAUAACCCUUGGAAACAGGUGCUAAACCGAUACUGAUGGAUGGACCCGGGGUGCAUUAGCUAGAGGGGGGGGUAACGGCUCACCAAGGCCACGAUGCAUACCCGACCGGAGAGGGUGAUCAGCCACACGGGGACUGAGACACGGCCCAGACGCCUACGGGAGGCAGCAGUAGGGAAUCUUGGGCAAGGGACGAAAGUCUGACCGAGCAACGCCGCGUGAGUGAAGAAGGUUUUCGGAUCGUAAAACUCUGUUGGUAGAGAAGCGUUAUCUAACCAGAAAGCCACGGCUAACUACGUGCCAGCAGCCGCGGUAAUUC
rnacentral:rRNA from 1 species